rnacentral:lncRNA from 1 species
CGUCAUUGUAUUGUAAUGAAUCUGGCCUUUGACUGACAAUGUCUUCACAAUCAUAACUAAGCUGGCACGCAUCAUAGUCUCUUGAUGGGUGGAAAGAAGACGAAUGCCUCUGGUGAAAUGGAUUCCCGGAGACUUCUGAAGGUGAUGUGUUUAGAAGUUCUUCUGAAGGUGAUGUGUUUAGAAGUUCUUCUGAAGGUGAAGGAGAGUCGAGCAAAUACUUGGGAUCAUAACUGUCUGUGCUGCUAGACUCGGUUGCAUACAUAAUUCCAUGUGCAUUUUUGGUGAACAUGGAUGUUGACAAGCCAGAGUUGUCCUUGUGAUCAUUUGGAAAGUAG